rnacentral:lncRNA from 1 species
CCACAUCAAGGGAUUUGUUACAUUAGAAUGGAUCAAACCCUUAAAAAUAGUUAGAAUUUAUCCAUUUCUUUUUUUGUUGAGAAAUUCUAUGAUUGCAUUCAUAAUUCAGCCAAAAAAACCACUAGCCACAAAUGGCUAAUACAAACUAGCCACAAAAGGGCAAUUACAAUAACGGAGCGGUCUAAUAUCAAAAUUAAGACAAUAUGGUGUGUCUCCACUAACGAUCAGACAGUAUCGAAGAAACUCUGGCAUAGGCAUCCCAACUAAGAUUGUAAACUUACAAUAAUAAAAAAUAGAUAAAGCUUGAAAAAACCAAGCCAUAACAAUACAAAUAAAACUCUCACAAAAGGAGAGAUGAAGAGCUCUCACAAAGGAGAGAUGGAAAACUCUCACAAAAGAAGAGGUGAAAACUACAAAGAGAACCCAAAGAGUCUCUGCAACUUAUUCCAAACAUAAAGAAAUUGCAAAAAGAUGGUGGUGGAGAUCCGACGCCGAAAUGCAGGUGAAGAUUCGAUUCUGAGCCGCAGCCGCCUAUAAUGAUUGGAUAAAAAUCAUAACAAAACUAAGACAAAUAGGGAAAACCCUGUCUCUGAAAAUAGGGGAAGAGGUGAAAGGAGAAAGAGAAGAGAGGAGAGGGGGGAAGAAUAAUGGCUUCCUCCCCCUCAAAGUGAAAAAGGCUCUAAAAAUAUUUUUUGGGAAAAAAGGGGCUAGAGUUUUUUUAGAAGAAAAGGGACUAGGGUUUAUUAUUCGAUAUUUU